rnacentral:rRNA from 1 species
UACGUAGGGGGGCGAGCGUUGUCCGGAAUUAUUGGGCGUAAAGGGCUCGUAGGCGGUUUGUCGCGUCGGGAGUGAAAACCUUGGGCUUAACUCAGGGCUUGCUUUCGAUACGGGCAGACUAGAGUGAUGUAGGGGAGACUGGAAUUCCUGGUGUAGCGGUGAAAUGCGCAGAUAUCAGGAGGAACACCUAUGGCGAAGGCAGGUCUCUGGGCCGAUACUGACGCUGAGGAGCGAAAGCGUGGGGAGCGAACAGG